rnacentral:rRNA from 1 species
CCUACGGGAGGCAGCAGUGAGGUAUAUUGGUCAAUGGCCGAGAGGCUGAACCAGCCAAGUCGCGUGAGGGAAGACGGCCCUACGGGUUGUAAGCCUCUUUUGUCGGGGAGCAAAGCGAACCACGUGUGGUUCAUUGAGCGUCCCCGAAGAAAAAGCAUCGGCUAACUCCGGGCCAGCAGCCGCGGUAAUACGGAGGAUGCUAGCGUUAUCCGGAUUUAUUGGGUUUAUAGGGUGCGCAGGCGGAUGUGCAAGUCAGCGGUCAAAUUUAGGGGCUCAACCCCGUACUGCCGUUGAAACUGCAGCACUUGAGUGCACGAGAAGUAUGCGGAAUGCGUGGUGUAGCGGUGAAAUGCAUAGAUAUCACGAAGAACUCCGAUUGCGAAGGCAGCAUACCGGCGCGCAACUGACGCUCAUGCACGAAAGCGUGGGUAUCGAACAGGAUUAGAUACCCUUGUAGUC